CCUACGGGUGGCAGCAGUGAGGAAUAUUGGUCAAUGGACGAGAGUCUGAACCAGCCAAGUCGCGUGAGGGAUGAAGGCCCAGUGUGUUGUAAACUUCUUUUAUAAGGGAACAAAACGCGGCACGUGUGCCCUGAUGCAUGUACCUUAUGAAUAAGGAUCGGCUAACUCCGUGCCAGCAGCCGCGGUAAUACGGAGGAUCCGAGCGUUAUCCGGAUUUAUUGGGUUUAAAGGGUGUGUAGGGGGGUUGUUAAGUCAGUUGGGAAAGUUUGCGGCUCAACCCUGGAACUGCAGUUGAAACUGGCAGUCAUGAGUUCGGGAGAAGUAGGCGGAAUUCGUGGUGUAGCGGUGAAAUGCAUAGAUAUCACGCAGAACUCCGAUUGCGAAGGCAGCUUACCGGACCGUGACUGACGUUGAGGCUCGAAAGCGUGGGUAUCAAACAGGAUUAGAUACCCCGGUAGUC
rnacentral:rRNA from 1 species